CGCAUCUGUGCAUGCAGCAUAUCAAUAAGCGGAGGAAAAGAAACUAACAAGGAUUCCCCUAGUAACGGCGAGUGAAGCGGGAAGAGCUCAAAUUUGAAAUCUUAAAGGGUUUCCCUUUACGAAUUGUAGUUUAAAGAAGUGUUUUCUGUUGAGGUUUUGGUAAAAGUUCUUUGGAAUAGGACAUCAUAGAGGGUGAGAAUCCCGUAUUUGACCUUUACUUUCAACUUUGUGAUACACUUUCAAAGAGUCGGAUUGUUUGGGAAUGCAGUCCAAAAUGGGUGGUAAAUUUCAUCUAAAGCUAAAUAUUGGCGAGAGACCGAUAGCGAACAAGUACCGUGAGGGAAUGAUGAAAAGAACUUUGAAAAGAGAGUUAAACAGUACGUGAAAUUGUCAAAAGGGAAGCGUUUGACACCAGUGUUGUUUUUCUGAAAAUCAGUUAAAGAACUGUUUAUGCUAAGUUGUUUAGACUUUAUCAGCUAACUGUUUAGUUUUGAGCCUUUCUUUAAUGCACUUUUCAGUCAACAAGUCAACAUCAAUUUCUUUUGCUGUAAAAAAGCUUGAGGAAGGUGGCUUGAGAUUCGUCUUAAGUGUUUAUAGCCUCUUGCCUAUGCAGUCGGAGAGAUUGAGGUCUGCAGCGUAGAUCCUUCGGGGCUAAAUGCAUUUGUGCUAAGUUAUAGCAUUUUAUAGACAACUUGUUGACUAUGAUUUGUCUUGUAGCUUACUCGCUUAUGUUAUUUUACCUACGCUUAGGAUGUUGAACGCGCACAGAGUCUC
rnacentral:rRNA from 1 species